GGACAAUGGGGGCGGUGUGGGGUUAUGGGGGGACAUUACGGGGAUACGGGGAGAUGUGGGGAUAUGGGGCCACCGUGGGGCCGCCAUAGGGCCGCCAUAGGGCCGCUAUAGGGACGCAAUGGGGAAGGUGCAGUAGCGCGGUGCGGACAGCAGGGGGCGCUGUGGGGUCGCACCUGCUCGUACCAGGCGGCGACGCAGGCCUCCAUGUAGGCGUAGCUGGUAAAGAAGGCGACGACGCCGUCCGGAACCACAGAGCACAGCUCCAGCAGCAGCUGCCCGCAGUUCCGCGUCACCGCUGUGAACGAACAGCGCCCCCUUGAGCCGCGGGAAUCCAAACCGCGGACACGGUCCUCCGAGCCACACAAAAGGUCCUCCAACACCUAGAAACGGUCCUCCGAACCACACGCAAGGUCCUCCAAGCCGCAGCCGAGGUCCUCCAAAUACAGCUGUGGUCCUCCAACCCACGGACAUGGUCCUCCAACCCACGGACAUAGUCCUCCAACCCACAGCCAUGGUCCUCCGAGCCACACAAAAGGUCCUCCAAGCCACAGCCGAGGUCCUCCAAGCCACAGCCGAGGUCCUCCAACACACAGCCGUGGUCCUCCAACCCACACACAAGGUCCCCCAACCACAGCUGUGGUCCUCCAGGCCACAGCCGAGGUCCUCCAACACACAGCCAUGGUCCUCCAACCCACGGACAUGGUCCUCCAACCCACUCCUGUGGUCCUCCAAGUCACAGCCGAGGUCCUCCAACGCACACACAAGGUCCUCCAAACACAGCCAUGGUCUGCCAGCCCACACACAAGGUCCUCCAACCACAGCUGUGGUCCUCCAACCCACAGCUGUGGUGCUCCAAAUACAGCUGUGGUCCUCCAAGCCACAGCCAAGGUCCUCCAAGCCACAGCCACAGUCCUCCAACCCACGGACAUAGUCCUCCAACCCACAGCCGAGGUCCUCCAAACACAGCUGUGGUCCUCCAACCCACAGCCAAGGUCCUCCAACCACAACUGUGGUCCUCCAAGCCACAGCCAAGGUCCUCCAACCCACAGCCAUGGUCCUCCAACCCACGGACAUAGUCCUCCAACCCACAACCGAGGUUCUCCAAGCCACACAAAAGGUCCUCCAAGCCACAGCCGAGGUCCUCCAACACACAGCCAAGGUCCUCCAACCCACACACAAGGUCCCCCAACCACAGCUGUGGUCCUCCAAGCCACAGCCGAGGUCCUCCAACACACAGCCAUGGUCAUCCAGCCCACGGACAUGGUCCUCCAACCCACUCCUGUGGUCCUCCAAGUCACAGCCAAGGUCCUCCAACUCACACACACUGUCCUCCAACACACAGCCGAGUUCCUCCAACGCACACACAAGGUCCUCCAAACACAGCCAUGGUCUGCCAACCCACACACAAGGUCCUCCAACCACAGCUGUGGUCCUCCAAGCCACAGCCGGGGUCCUCCAAAUACAGCUGUGGUCCUCCAAGCCACAGCCGAGGUCCUCCAACACAUAGCCAUGGUCCUCCAACCCACGGACAUAGUCCUCCAACCCACUCCUGUUGUCCUCCAAGUCACAGCUGAGGUCCUCCAACUCACACACAAGGUCCUCCAACCACAGCUGUGGUCCUCCAACCCACAGACAUAGUUCUCCAACCCACAGCCGAGGUCCUCAGAGCCACACAAAAGGUCCUCCAAGCCACAGCCGAGGUCCUCCAACACACAGCCGUGGUCCUCCAACCACACACAAGGUCCCCUAACCACAGCUGUGGUCCUCCAGGCCACAGCCGAGGUCCUCUAACACACAGCCAUGGUCAUCCAACCCACGGACAUGGUCCUCCAACCCACUCCUGUGGUCCUCCAAGUCACAGCCAAGGUCCUCCAACUCACACACAAGGUCCUCCAAACACAGCCAUGGUCCAGCCCACAGCCAUGGUCCUCCAACUCACACACAGGGUUCUCCAACUACAGCUGUGGUCCUCCAAGCCACAGCCUAGGCCCUCCAACUCGCACACAAGGUCCUCCAACCACAGCCAUGGUCCUCCAACCCACGGACAUAGCCCUUCAAUCACAGCUAUGGUCCUCCAAGCCACUCCAAUGGUCCUCCAACUCACACACAAGGUCCUCCAACCACAGCCAUGGUCCUCCAACCCAUGGACAUAGUCCUCCAACCCACAGUCAAGGUCCUCCAACUCACACACAAGGUCCUCAAACACACACACAAGGUCCUCCAAAUACAGCUCUGUCCUCCAAGCCACAGCCAAGACCCUCCAACUUGCACACUCCAACCACAGCCAUGGUCCUCCAACCCACGGACAUGGUCCUCCAAGCCACAGCCGAGGUCCUCCAACUCGCACACAAGGUCCUCCAAGCCACAGCCACAGUCCUCCAACAUGUGGUUGAGGUCCUCCAACCCACAGCUGUGGUCCUCCAAGCCACUCCAAUGGUCCUCCAACCCACACAAGGUCCUCAAACACACACCUGUGGUCCUCCAAGCCAUUCCUGUGGUCCUCCAACCCACACACAAGGUCCUCCAAAACAGCCACAGUCCUCCAAGCCAUUCCUGUGGUCCUCCAACCCACCGCUGCAGUCCUCCAAGCCACACACAAGGUCCUCCAACACACAGCCACGGUCCUCCAACAUGUGGU
rnacentral:lncRNA from 1 species